CUACGGAGGGUGCGAGCGUUGUUCGGAAUUAUUGGGCGUAAAGAGCAUGUAGGCGGUCUGUUGAGUCUGGUGUGAAAGCCCGGGGCUCAACCCCGGAAGUGCAUUGGAUACUGGCAGACUUGAGUAUGGGAGAGGAAAGCGGAAUUCCGAGUGUAGGAGUGAAAUCCGUAGAUAUUCGGAGGAACACCAGUGGCGAAGGCGGCUUUCUGGACCAAUACUGACGCUGAGAUGCGAAAGCGUGGGGAGCGAACAGGAUUAGAUACCCCAGUAGUCC
rnacentral:rRNA from 1 species